AACGCACAUUGCGCCCCUUGGCAUUCCGAGGGGCAUGCCUGUUCGAGCGUCAUUACAACCCUCAAGCAUUGCUUGGUAUUGGGCUCCGCUGGUUUCAGCGGGCCUUAAAGUCAGUGGCAGCGCCGUCUAAGCUCUGAGCGUAGUAAAUCUCCUCGCUAUAGAGACUAGGUGGUCCCUCGCCAUCAACCCCCUAACUUCCUAAGUUUGACCUCGGAUCAGGUAGGGAUACCCGCUGAACUUAA
rnacentral:misc_RNA from 1 species